UGCUCAUUUCUUUUGUUUUUAGGGUACUUCAGCAAAUCCAGUAGCUUUGCGGCGGUGGCAAAUGGGGGAAGGGGGAAAUACAGUUGGUGAUUCUCCAGUCGAAACAUCAUUGGAGAGGGUAGAGGCCUUGCUGGAGGCUGCUAGGUACGAUGACAUGGAUGAUCUUAAAAGCUUAGAAUCUGCUGGUCUUUCCCUUGAUUCUAAAGGAUCUCCACGGCCGAACAGCACUACACAUGGCUCCUGCUAAUGGACACCUUCAGUUGACUUUGAGGGUGGCAAGAAAGUCAAGGUGGAUUGGGAAGACUCCGCAAGCCAGCUGGCAUUAGGAGCGGUCGAGGGUGGGGGGCAUUUUUUCUGGAGGA